ACACCAUGCUGACAGUCAAGCAUGGCGGUGACAGCAGCAGCAUGCUUUGGGGUUGUUAUUCUUCAGCUGGAACUGGAGCCUCAGACAAAGUGGAAGGAAUUACAAACAGUUUGAGAUAGCAGUCAGUGUUAGCACAAUAUCUUCAGCCGUCCGCUUGAUAGCAAAAAUAAUGACAGGAAACGCUUACGAGAACAGCUGAACUACAUUUGGUGUUGAUCAGAGGCACCUGUGUGCUGACUCCUAUAUAACAUGCGUUUGAAUGUGUGGGCGGCACGGUGGCCGACUAGUUAGAGGGUCUAUGUCACAGUUCUGAGGACCGGUGUGGACUUUGCAUGUUCUCCCCGUGCCUGUGUGGGUUUUCUCCGGGCACUCUGGUCUCCUCCCACAUCCCAAAAACAUGCAUGCUAGGUUAAUUGAAGACUCUAAAUUGCCCAUAGGUGUGAAUGUGAGUGCGAAUGGUUGUUUGUUUGUAUGUGUUCUGCGAUUGGCUGACAACCAAUUCAAGGUGUACCCUGCCUCCUGCCCGAAGAUAGCUGGGAUAGGCUCCAGCACGCCCGCGACCCUAGUGAGGAGAAGCGGCUCAAAAAAUGGAUGGAUGGUUAACAAAGUUAUAAAAGGGUGCGCACACUUGUGCAACCACAUUAUCUCAGUUGUUUAUUUUCACUGCCCCUCUCAAAAAUAAAAAGAAAAUAAUUUUUAAAAUUUCAAUUAAGUUGUAAAGGUUACAGGUCACACAAAUGGUCGAAAAAAGGUUUGAAAUUCAUUUUUUUUAUCACAAAAAAAUGUCAUUUGAACAGGGAUUUGUAGACUUGUGAAAUAUCCAAUGCAAUCUCAGUGGUAAAUGUCAGUUAUUUACUUUCUGAUAGACUGUGAUCUUUUAUUCACUUCUCCAGUCCUUCCCUUGUCCACAAAUAUUUUGGCAGGAACACAAAGAGCUCUAUCUGAAAACGAAACCUCUGCCAAGCUCCCAUUUUUUGUUCAGGGAUGCUCUGCAUCACGCACAUGUUUGUGUGAAUCUGUGCCCACUCAAAAAUCUUGGAUGUUCCUCUCUCAAGUGAAAGCCUGUAAUCUCAUUUUCAAAAUGCAAUUUUAUCAAUCAGACAUGCUUCUAAAUGGUCCGAGACAAAAUCACAUUUGCAGGCAAUUUCCCGCCCCGGCACCUGUCGUUUGUCAUCACAGUGAUAAACGUGACACGCCGAGGCAGACUCACAUCGACAUGGAGACACGGGAUCCAGUUUGCCUCCCACUGUAUAUGUGAUGCCUGGGCUGGUUAGUACCUCGGAGGUUGCAGAGGAAGACGAGGCACCAGAUACAGGCGGUGCAACAGAUGACCAGGCCCACAGCCAGCACUGCACGGUCGGCCACCUUCCCGCUCAGCCAGCGAACAAAGAGGAAGCCCAGGAUGACUUCCACCCCACACAGGCUGUACAUCACACUGUUGCCCAACUCGUCGAAGCCGAAGUAGCGUUGCGUCAGAGGAGUCACCAUGGUCUGAAACAUAUGGUUACAAAGGCAUGAAAUGCUUCACUCAGUGAAAAGGAGGACGCCCGCAUGAGAGCAAUUCUUCACAAGCAACACAUAGACUAAUGUUUUUUCCAUUUUCAUACUAACCAGAUGGCGAUCCUGGUCAAUAAUGUAAGACCAUUUUGUCAAAGUAGUUUAACGCUUCAUCUGUAAAAGUAGAACCAAGGGGCUGUCCAAAAUGGAUUAUGCAUGCUUCACUAUGAAGAGCCAACUAAAAGGAGUUCUGCCAGUCAAUCAGUGAAGGGUGAUGGCCAUAAUACUGCAUAUCAUAUUUUUUUUCCUGGAAAAAAAACACACACGUAAGCAGGGUACGGGUGUUAAAAAAAAAAAAAAAAAAAAGAUACCGCGAAGAAGCGGGGGGUUCCGCCAAUAACGGGGGAUAGGUUCACCCCCGAAAAAUUUGAGAAUCGGUUAUACCAUUAAUAAUUGCUGAUCAUUAUAAUGACCAUGAAGAAUAAAAAAAAAAAUACUCCUGAAAAAAAC